rnacentral:lncRNA from 1 species
UGGGGCUUCAGAAGCCAACACGAUGGUUUUCGGGCUCACAUCCCAAAGGCUGCUCUUCCUUUUAGCACCUGGGACCUACCAGGAACCUCAACCUCUAACAACAUUGGUCCCCGUUACCGUGGAGUUUGCGCCCAGCGUUCGCUGGAGGGCCGUUUGAAGAAUGAUUGUUGUCGUAAAGGCCUUUGAUAAUAAUAGAUACUGUUUACCCAGUGCUUGAUGCCAGGCAUUGCUACAAACACUGCGUACACAUUAUUCUAUUUAAUCUUCAUAACCCAGUGAGGAUAUCAACCAGGAUAUGGCAUUGCAUUGGAUCCCAACCAGGAUAUGACGUUACAUUGGAUCCCAACCAGGAUAUGGCAUUGCACUGGAUCCCAACCAGGAUAUGGCAUUGCACUGGAUCCCAACCAGGAUAUGGCAUUGCGUUGGAUCCCAACCAGGUUAUGGCAUUACAUUGGAUCCCAACCAGGUUAUGGCAUUGCAUUGGAUCCCAACCAGGAUAUGACAUUGCAUUUACUCAUCACGCCUCCUUAGGUUCCUCUUGGCUGUGACGGUUUCUCAGACUAUCCUUGUUUUUUAGGACCUUGACAGUUUUGAGGCAUACUGGUAUUGGAAAACCCAAGCAUUGACUCUCCAGACCAGCCUCGCACCUAAGAACGCCGUGGGAUGCAGUUUCAGACAGUGAGAAAUCUGCUGGGGAUGCCUGGGAAAGGGACAUACCUGGCAG